AGUGAACGCUGGCGGUAGGCCUAACACAUGCAAGUCGAACGGCAGCACAGUAAGAGCUUGCUCUUACGGGUGGCGAGUGGCGGACGGGUGAGGAAUACAUCGGAAUCUACUUUUUCGUGGGGGAUAACGUAGGGAAACUUACGCUAAUACCGCAUACGACCUACGGGUGAAAGCAGGGGAUCUUCGGACCUUGCGCGAUUGAAUGAGCCGAUGUCGGAUUAGCUAGUUGGCGGGGUAAAGGCCCACCAAGGCGACGAUCCGUAGCUGGUCUGAGAGGAUGAUCAGCCACACUGGAACUGAGACACGGUCCAGACUCCUACGGGAGGCAGCAGUGGGGAAUAUUGGACAAUGGGCGAAAGCCUGAUCCAGCCAUACCGCGUGGGUGAAGAAGGCCUUCGGGUCGUAAAGCCCUUUUGUUGGGAAAGAAAAGCAGCAGGUUAAUACCCCGCUGUUCUGACGGUACCCAAAGAAUAAGCACCGGCUAACUUCGUG
rnacentral:rRNA from 1 species